rnacentral:rRNA from 1 species
CWCGCAGMUUACCAUGCAGUCGACGCCCCGCAAGGGGAGUGGCAKACGGGUGAGUAACGCGUGGGAACAUACCCUUUCCUGCGGAAUAKCUCCGGGAAACUGGAAUUAAUACCGCRWACSCCCUACGGGGGAAAGAUUUAUCGGGGAAGGAUUGGCCCGCGUUGGAUUAGCUAGUUGGUGGGGUAAAGGCCUACCAAGGCGACGAUCCAUAGCUGGUCUGAGAGGAUGAUCARCCACAUUGGGACUGAGACACGGCCCAAACUCCUACGGGAGGCARCASUGGGGAAUAUUGGACAAUGGGCGCAAGCCUGAUCCAGCCAUGCCGCGUGAGUGAUGAAGGCCUUAGGGUUGUAAAGCUCUUUCACCGGAGAAGAURAUGACGGUAUCCGGAGAAGAAGCCCCGGCUAACUUCGUGCCAGCAGCCGCGGUAAUACSAAGGGGGCUAGCGUUGUUCGGAAUUACUGGGCGUAARGCGCACGUAKGCGGAUAUUUAAGUCAGGGGUGAAAUCCCAGAGCUCAACUCUGGAACUGCCUUUGAUACUGGGUAUCUUGAGUAUGGAASAGGUAAGUGGAAUUCCGAGUGUAGCGGUAAARWRGGGCKAAAKYARAAAAUUYGGGAKGWAGYGGGUGAAAAA